rnacentral:misc_RNA from 1 species
AACGCACAUUGCGCCCCUUGGUAUUCCGAGGGGCAUGCCUAUUCGAGCGUCAUUAUCACCCCCUCAAGCUCAGCUUGGUGUUGGGGCCUGCCGUCACGGCAGCCCCUAAAAUCAGUGGCGGUGCCCUCAGGCUCUAAGCGCAGUAAUUUUUCUCGCUACAGACCCCUGGAGGCGCCCGCCAGCAACCCCCCCCUUUUUAAUGAUUGACCUCGGAUUAGGUAGGGAUACCCGCUGAACUUAA